GUCUACAGUCAUGCCACCCUGAACCCAGAACAAGCCUGAUGUCUGAUCUCGGAAGCUAAGCAGGGUUGGGCUUGGUUAGUACUUGGAUGGGAGACCAUCUAGGAAGACCAGGUGCUGUACGCA
rnacentral:rRNA from 1 species